rnacentral:rRNA from 1 species
UGCCUGAUGGAGGGGGAUAACUACUGGAAACGGUAGCUAAUACCGCAUAACGUCGCAAGACCAAAGAGGGGGACCUUCGGGCCUCUUGCCAUCGGAUGUGCCCAGAUGGGAUUAGCUAGUAGGUGGGGUAAAGGCUCACCUAGGCGACGAUCCCUAGCUGGUCUGAGAGGAUGACCAGCCACACUGGAACUGAGACACGGUCCAGACUCCUACGGGAGGCAGCAGUGGGGAAUAUUGCACAAUGGGCGCAAGCCUGAUGCAGCCAUGCCGCGUGUAUGAAGAAGGCCUUCGGGUUGUA